AUACAGUUCGAUGAUAUGAUCCGAAAUUUAAAAUAGUAUUUAGUGAACUUUCCUACCAGUCAAUGUCACUAGGUAUUUAAAUCAGUUAAAAUUUAUUUCGAUAAUUUGUGUGUUAUUGUUAGUUACUAUGGUAUACACGCUUAGGCAAAGAAUUGAAAUGAUUUUUAUUUAUGGCGAGCAAGGAAGAUGCGCAAGAAGAACGGCAGAAGUUUUUAAUAAUAGAAAUCCUAAUUGUAAUGUAAGUCACAGAUACAUUUUGGACGUAGUAGCUAAAUUUAAUGAAACGGGUUCAGUUGGAAACAAAAAAAGGGCAAGUCGGCGUGUUUUAAACGAAGAUGCUCAAGUAGAGAUUUUGGGAACAUUCGUUGCAGAACCCACCAAUUCUCUCCGUACAGUAGCACGUCUAACUGGAAUGUCACAUGAAACUGAACUUCAUGAGGACGAUUUUGAUAGGAGAAUAGAGUUUUGCGAAAUUAUGUCCAACUUAAUAAACACUCGUGCAAUUGUGACAGAAUUGUCGAUACUGGAGUGAGGACAAUCCCCACAUUUUCAGAGAGGGUGCU